rnacentral:rRNA from 1 species
CCUACGGGAGGCAGCAGUGAGGAAUAUUGGUCAAUGGACGGAAGUCUGAACCAGCCAAGCCGCGUGAAGGAAGACGGCGCUAUGAGUUGUAAACUGCUUUUAUACAAGGGUAAACCUGUACACGUGUAGGCUGCUGAAAGUACCAUACGAAUAAGGAUCGGCUAACUCCGUGCCAGCAGCCGCGGUAAUACGGAGGAUCCAAGCGUUAUCCGGAUUUAUUGGGUUUAAAGGGUGCGUAGGUGGAUUGUUAAGUUAGAGGUGAAAUUUUCCGGCUCAACCCUGAAACUGCCAUUGAUACUGUUGUUCUUGAGUGUAGUUGCGGUAAGCGGAAUGUGUGGUGUAGCGGUGAAAUGCUUAGAUAUCACGCAGAACCCCGAUUGCGAAGGCAGCUUACCAAUCUAUAUCUGACGUUGAGGCUCGAAAGUGUGGGUAUCAAACAGGAUUAGAUACCCCAGUAGUC